rnacentral:rRNA from 1 species
GGAGGAUGCGAGCGUUAUCCGGAUUUAUUGGGUUUAAAGGGUGCGUAGGUGGUGAUUUAAGUCAGCGGUGAAAGUUUGUGGCUCAACCAUAAAAUUGCCGUUGAAACUGGGUUACUUGAGUGUGUUUGAGGUAGGCGGAAUGCGUGGUGUAGCGGUGAAAUGCAUAGAUAUCACGCAGAACUCCGAUUGCGAAGGCAGCUUACUAAACCAUAACUGACACUGAAGCACGAAAGCGUGGGGAUCAAACAGGAUUAGAUACCCUGGUAGUCCACGCAGUAAACGAUGAUUACUAGGAGUUUGCGAUACAAUGUAAGCUCUACAGCGAAAGCGUUAAGUAAUCCACCUGGGGAGU